rnacentral:rRNA from 1 species
UGAGUACGAGCUGCUACGGCAGCGAAGUGGGUGAUGUCAAGCUUCCAAGAAAAGCCCUAUACCCGUUAAGGCAUGAUGGCCUGUACCCGAAACCGACACAGGUAGGGUGGUAGAGAAUACCGAGGGGCGCGAGGUAACUCUCUCUAAGGAACUCGGCAAAAUGGCCCCGUAACUUCGGGAUAAGGGGUGCCACCGCAAGGUGGUCGCAGUGAUAGGCCCAGGCGACUGUUUACCAAAAACACAGGUCUCCGCUAAGUCGCAAGACGAUGUAUGGGGGCUGACGCCUGCCCAGUGCCGGAAGGUUAAGGAAGCUGGUCAGCGUAAGCGAAGCUGGCGACUGAAGCCCCGGUGAACGGCGGCCGUAACGAUAACGGUCCUAAGGUAGCGAAAUUCCUUGUUGGGUAAGUUCCGACCCGCACGAAAGGCGUAACGAUCUGGGCGCUGUCUCGGAGAGAGGCUCGGCGAAAUAGAAUUGUCUGUGAAGAUGCGGACUACGUGCACCCGGACAGAAAGACCCUAUGAAGCUUUACUGUAGCUUGGUAUUGUGCCCGGGCUCGCAAUGCGCAGGAUAGGUGGGAGGCUUUGAUCAUCGGCUUGCGGGUCGAUGUGAGCCAACGGUGAGAUACCACUCUUUGCGAGCUAGGGUUCUAACGGUCACCCGUUAUCCGGGGACCGGACAGUAUCAGGUGGGCAGUUUGACUGGGGCGGUCGCCUCCUAAAAGGUAACGGAGGCGCGCAAAGGUUUGCUCAGGCUGGUUGGAAAUCAGCCGACGAGUGUAAAAGCAGAAGCAAGCUUGACUGUGAGACCUACAAGUCGAACAGGGACGAAAGUCGGCUUUAGUGAUCCGACGGUUCUGAGUGGAAGGGCCGUCGCUCAACGGAUAAAAGUUACUCUAGGGAUGACAGGCUGAUCUCCCCCAAGAGUUCACAUCGACGGGGAGGUUUGGCACCUCGAUGUCGGCUCAUCGCAACCUGGGGCUGAAGUCGGUCCCAAGGGUUGGGCUGUUCGCCCAUUAAAGCGGUACGCGAGCUGGGUUCAGAACGUCGUGAGACAGUUCGGUCCAUAUCCGGUGCACGCGCAGGAACAUUGAGAAGAUUUCUCCCUAGUACGAGAGGACCGGGAGGAACGCACCUCUGGUGUACCAGUUAUCGUGCCAACGGUAAACGCUGGGUAGCCAUGUGCGGAGUGGAUAACCGCUGAAAGCAUCUAAGUGGGAAGCCCACCUCAAGAUGAGUGUUCCCAUGGCGUUAGCCAGUAAGGUCACGGGAAGAACACCCGUUGAUAGGCUCUACGUGGAAGCGCAGUAAUGCGUGAAGCGGAGGAGUACUAAUAGACCGAGGGCUUGACC